CGGAGGCGGGGCUUCGGCGGCGUCCGGCGCGCGGUCCGGCUCCUGGCACUGAGCGGCGUCCUGCUCGGAGCCGACCCUGGCAACCGCGACCUCGCGCCGGGCCCUGUGUGCUGCUGGCUGAAGAAGGGCAGGUGACAAACUCCGAGCCAGCGCAGUGGUCAUGUCGGCCAGAAAUAGAAAACGAUGUCGGCCCGCCGAAGCGGGCGGAGCCCUUCAGGCCAGGGGUUCGAGAGCAUCCUGGGCAACAUGGCGCGACCCUGUGUCUGCAGUCCCACCUCAGCCUCCCCGCUGCUUGAACCCCAGGGUUCAAGGCUACACUGAGCGAUGAUCCCACCACAGCACUCCAGCCUGCGAGACAGAUCAGAACUUCUUAUAAUGCAACUGAAGUUACUCGGCCAAGAACAAAUACAACAGUAACUCCAGUGGGCCUCCAUUGUCUCCAAGUCAACUUUCCUCCUCAUCUACAACUUCUCCACAGCAGCCCUGAACACCUGUUCACCUGGAUCUACCAUGAAAGACUUCAGAGUCCAGGAAGAGACUGACUGGGCAGCAUGUUAUUCAGGAGAUGGGGUCUCGCUCUGUCACCUUGGCU